AGUGGGUGUGAGUUAAGCUCUCAGCUACCACCACAGUUCUGAAGCCAGAAAUGAGAGGCAAGAAAAAGCAGGCCCCUGCCAACUCCACGGGGCCAGGCUAGGAGACUGCAAGGUCCAGGCUCUGCUUUGCUUCCCAGUCCCACCAAGCUGGGCCCCUGACAGCCUCUUGCUGGUACCUGAAGGCAGCAGCUCGGCCUUCACCACGCUGAUCUCCACCUUCUUCCGGCUCAGGCUCACCAGCUUGUCCCCCCCGUAGAUUAGUGCCGGGACCAGGAAGAAGAUGUGGAAACGGGGCAGCUGGACCAGAGCGAAGCUGCCGUGGAUGAUGAGCUGAAUAGAGUGAAGGAUACCGCUCAGACCUGGCCACAUCCACAACAGGAUCUGAGGCUGGUUCAGGGCUUAGACCCCUAUAUCAUUCCUCACUGGCAUGUCCACGCCUCACCUCACCAUGUGCCAUGCUCCUUUCAGGUUCCAAAACCGAACCAUUCCCAACCCCAUCCUCCAAAGCAUCCUUGACGAAUAAGACUAUUUGCAUCUCUCCGACACCAUCCUAGGACCUAGACCAGUGAUGGUGAACCUAUGACACUCGUGUCAGAGGUGACACGCGAACUCAUUUUUUUGGUUGAUUUUUCUUUGUUAAAUGGCAUUUAAAUAUAUAAAAUAAAUAUCAAAAAUAUAA